GUCACACCAUGAGAGUUGGGAAUACCCGAAGCCUGUGAGCCAACUUUAAGAGGCAACAGUCGAAGGUAGAAUCAAUGAUUGGGUGAAGUCGUAACAAGGUACC
rnacentral:rRNA from 1 species